rnacentral:rRNA from 1 species
AGUGAACGCUGGCGGUAGGCCUAACACAUGCAAGUCGAACGGCAGCACAGUAAGAGCUUGCUCUUACGGGUGGCGAGUGGCGGACGGGUGAGGAAUACAUCGGAAUCUACUUUUUCGUGGGGGAUAACGUAGGGAAACUUACGCUAAUACCGCAUACGACCUACGGGUGAAAGCAGGGGAUCUUCGGACCUUGCGCGAUUGAAUGAGCCGAUGUCGGAUUAGCUAGUUGGCGGGUUAAAGGCCCACCAAGGCGACGAUCCGUAGCUGGUCUGAGAGGAUGGUAGGCCACACUGGAACUGAGACACGGUCCAGACUCCUACGGGAGGCAGCAGUGGGGAAUAUUGGACAAUGGGCGCAAGCCUGAUCCAGCCAUACCGCGUGGGUGAAGAAGGCCUUCGGGUUGUAAAGCCCUUUUGUUGGGAAAGAAAAGCAGCAGGUUAAUACCCCGCUGUUCUGACGGUACCCAAAGAAUAAGCACCGGCUAACUUCGUG